GCCCCUCCUGCCUGGCCCCCUGCCGCUGCAGCAACACAUGUGAACUGACACGGUAUCUGAGCACACCCCGGGAAACAGACCGCAGCCCUCCCUGGCGCCCAGUGAUUACAGGCCAAGGCUGAAAGCAGCAACAAGAACCAAGAAACAAAGCCUUCUGUGAAACCAGAAACCACACAAGGUCACAAAAACAGCAAGAACUUGUAAAUCCUGAAAACCCUUCAGUGAGGAAUUUUCCUAAGCACCUGUGUCCAGCUCUGAAACAACAGUGGCUUGACACAUACCUGAGACGAUGAGAGCACAAAUCCAGCCGCCCCUCCGGAAAGACCAUUCAAGGUCACGGGCGUUUUAAGAUGUGGUUCUCUUUUGGGCUUAUCUGUGGAAAAACAUCCAAGGCACAGACCAAACAGCUGCUUUGAAAACACACUCAAGACAGACCACAUCCUUGCACACCGCUGUGGCCUCAGGACUCUGGGACUAAGGCAGGUUAUUAUUAACCUCCAAGUCAGACAACCUCCAGUGGAGCCAGGACUCAAACCUGGGACUGCCCAGCUGGAGAAGGAGUCUGGUUCCAGGUUCCUGAGCUACGUAACUAGCUGGCUUCCCCCCGGAUCACAAGAUGUCGUCAGACACCUACUGGAGCUAUGUGGAUCCUUAUUCACACUCAGAGAGAGCACUGCUUCCCAGAGCCACCAAACCACAGUUCUGAGCAGCGUUCUAAGGGACCAACCUGAACUGUGGCCAGGAAAUGCCUCCCUGCUGAUUACAGUGUGGGGUACAGUCCAUCUUUUGGGGGAGGGGAGGACGCUCGAAUGCUAGUUGGGGUUAAUUUCACUCAAAAUGUGUGGCUGCUAUGCAGUGCAGAUAAGAGUGGUCCCCAGAACAAAAUCUGGGCGCUGUGAGCAAAAGGAAAUGGUUGCUGAUCCAUGUCCCCCAAGGCACCCCAUGGCUCAAGUAAUGCUCCGUGUUAAUCCUUGUGCUGAAACUGCACAUACUUCUUGAGAACGCCUUGUCUGGAGCGGUAAGCAAUCUAGCAUUUUAACUUCCCCUCAAGGAACUGAUUUGUCCCUUGUGACCCCAUUAAUGUUUGCAGAUGCCUUGACCUUCAUUAAUUACGGG
rnacentral:lncRNA from 10 species